CCCGCCGUCUUCCCGAGCGCGCCGCUGCCGCCGUCUUCCCCAGAGCACCACCGCCCCACCACCCCCGCCCACGGGACCAGUGGUCCCAUCGCCGGUCUCCCCCCACCCAGAUCUGCUGGAGGCGCACCGAAUCCUGCCUCACUGCCGGUUCCGCGACUCGGCCGCCGCCCCAACCGCUGCAGCAGCCGAGCACCUCCACUAGGUGCCCCGACGGUUCAGACCCUCACCUGGCCCCUCCCUCGAACCCAGCGAGCCUCCGCCCCGGCCUACUUCCCGCGCGAGGUCGCCUCCGCCUCCUCCUGGCGCAUCGCCGCCCCCACCAUUUGGAUCGAUGUCCCACUUGAGUUAGACGUGAACGAUAUGUUGAAGAGCAAGGGGGCACAUGCUAUUUCAGACCCUGAUUCGUUUUCUCAGGCAAUGGCAAAGCUCCGUCAGCGUUAUGAUGAUCUGAAAGAGCGGUAUGCAGUUUCUGAUGUUACUGUUUCAGUACAGAACGUGGCUUCUCAGCUAGGCUACAGCAGCAUCGACUCUUUGAGCCUGGAGGACAUGGUCAUUGAGAGGGGUCAUCGAGGCUGCCCGCAACCCGAUGCCCUCCACGGACACCACCACCAUGAUGGCGGAAGGAAGAGUAAGAGGGGUCGUCGAGGCUGGGUGCCGCCGUGAGGAUGCUGGCGCCCGUGCACGUUGAUGGCAUUGUGGCGGAAGGUCUUCUUCCUGGGGAGCCGCGCCCAGCCUCAGUCUCCACCCGCGGCCACGCUAACAAGAUAGAUCUCAAUGCUUGCUUGCUAAUGUGCGUGUGUGGAUGUUGCUGGUUGCUGCUGCUGUGCACGUCUGCUUGGUGUGCCCCUGCUGUUUUGUGUUCUCACCACCACAUCCAUGACAAAUAAAAUUUCUUAGUUUUCUUAGAAUGGUUCAGGUUCGAUAUGUCAGGGCUAAAGUACGCUCCUGAGUUAAAGAAAUACCUCGAGAGACACUGUAGGGACGGAUUAAGACCUGUGGGAUCAUGGCUCUUUCAGCUUGAGCAGUAUUUGCGAUGUAUCCUUCACUUACCAUACCACGGGGUUGUUGCGGAUAUUGGUGGAGGACUUGGUGGUCUAGCGCAAAAUGGAAUCCUAGAAAGAAGUGAAACUAAUCAGCUAUGGUCAGUCGGCAGAGGCGCAUGCAGGUUUGUGCUUGAGGGUGCACGCGAGCCGGUGGCUACAGGCAAAGGAGCAAAGGAGGCUUCUGUGGCGCCGGAGCAACAAUUUCAGUGAGCACAUGGACUUGAUGCAGGGAGGGUCGUCGAAGAUAAGGACGGCGGCCCGGCCUACACAUGAUGGAACACACAUUGCCGACGAUGCGGUACCAGGGCUAGAGAAGAGAUCCCAAGAAUGCCCGCCGCAGUACUGCAUUGCCACUAUCUUCAAAGACGCGUCGCUGGAUGUUGUUAGGGAUUUCUUCUGGGAUGAUGACUUCCGGGUCAAGAACACUUGGGACAAUAUCUGCAGCACGAGAUUGAACGACGGGUGCACAAAGACUGGAACAAUGGUUGUUUGCUGGGUCAGGAAGGGAGUAUGUUAUCGGUCGCAGGGUCUGGGCAUCGGGAAAGACGUACUACUGCGCUAAUAAGGUGUUUUAUGAAAUGUCCUCCGUCCGAAAAUACUUGUCAUCAAAAUGAAUAAAAGGAGAUCACAAUGUUGGACACGACCACCUAAGAAUUGAAUAUUUUUAGUUGGAAUACUAUUUUAAUGAUCAAUCACAAUGUUGGACGCGACCACCUACUUAUUCCCGAGACUUUAAGUCUUUGGUGGCUUAAGCACAAUAUGCCCGGCAUAUGUUCUACAUCUGCGGCAUGUAAUGACCCUACUGGCAUUUCAAGAGGUCUGUAAAUACAACACUCUUCCAAAGUAUUUCCAAGUAAGUGUUCACCUCGUGAGAUUUAUUAAAUGUUUUAGAUAUCUCGCUUGUGAAUGCUCAUCGGUAGCUAAUAUCCUGAGUAUUUUGAUAACGG